ensembl:lncRNA
CAGAGAUUUAAUAUUCAGGCUUUUACUCUCCAUAAAUCACUUCAUUAGACAUUUAUUUCCUCCAACUUGACUUCUAUCUGCAGUCAAAUUGAUAUAGCUUUAUUCUCUUGUACAUUAUAUAUAUCAUACUAAAAUAAACACAAGUUUAAAAAAUGAACAAAGAAACUGUACAAAAAAAUGUAUAUAUACUACAUCUUAAUUACAGAACAGUCUACUGUCCAAAAAAGGCACUAAAUUCUGAAAUGGGCGAUACAGUAACUGUGAACAUAAUAGAUUGGAGAUUGAUACGACAGUGUUCAGUCCUCUUUUCUGAGCUAUAUGGGAUGAGGCGGAAACACGAAGGACAUGUAGACAUGUUGACCCUGACACCACCACACCAGAGGACCUUCAGAAAGCGACCAACAAAAACCUCCUUCAGUCAGUCCCAGGUUCUUCUAUCUGAGGGUUUCUUUUUCCAACGUUUCCCCAUCGAGCUCACAUAAAUACUUCUGGAUUAAAACUCGCUAAUUGGGCAUCGAAGGCAGUUCAUUUAAAAGUGUCUUUUAGUGAGAGAAUAAUCUCUAAAUGCACUCUUUGUACUCUUUUUUCCCCCCACGCAUGACUGAUUUUUCUGAACGUACAACAUUCUCAGUAUGGGAACGUCACACCGAACUCCAGAGAAAAACCCAAAAAAUAGAAAAACACAGUUCAACUGGUAACUUCCAGGUGUGUUUUAUCUUAAAUACGCUUUGUAAAGCUGCGAUGUGCUCAUAUUUGUAGAUAUUAAGUUUUAACCCUCGUGUCGUCCUGUGGGUCAAAACUGACCUGUUUUAAAGUUUGAAAAUGUGGAGAAAAAAAUAUAUUUUCACAGUGAAACUUCUGAUGUGCACAUUUUCAACAUUUUUGGAAAAUCUUUGAACAUUUUUUGGUGGAAAAAAAGGAAUUUCUUAAGAACAUUCACAUAAAUUUUUAAGGAAUUAUUGGAAUUUUCUUCCUGAAGGUUUGGCAAAUUUUCAGAAAUUUGGGGAACUUCUGUGCAGAAUUUUUUUCAGACAAGGAAACAAUAUUUUUUUGGUGCCUGUAAAUGAAGACAACAGGAGGGUUAAAGAGCAGUUCGCCUCAUUAUUUAACUGUUAGGCAGAAAACAGCAAAUUCUAUGAAAAACCAUGAUGAAAACACAUUUGUUUCUAAUAGAAGGUUAAAACUGGGCUAUUAUUUACAAAUAAUUUAACUUUAAUCCACUAUUCUUCUGAGAUAUUUUUGUGCAAUAAAAAGGCAGAUUUCACCGUGGAGUUUGGCGUUGUUUUACUGGGCCUGAUUUCUGGUGAUUUAUUGUGAAGCAGCUGAACUGAAAUGUUUUUUUUCCACACCAGCCCGUUGUUGUACGUUGUCGUCAUGGGGGAACAGAGGCGUUUACAUUUCAAGCUUAGUCAACAGCAAUACUUAAUUUUCAUAAGGUGCAUCACAUCGUUCAUAAAAUCUCUUCCUACCUCGGGUACAAAUAGGAGGGGGACUGUUGUUCAGUAGAAUAAGGGAUGACAAGAAUAAAAUAAAAUAGAAAGUCAGGAGAAAUUAAAACAAUUCAACAAUAAAGCUUGUUUCAUUUUAAAACAUAUGUCAUUCUUUUUUUUUUUUUUGUACAUUACCAUAAAAAAUGAGUAUAAAUACAUAUAGUUUCAGGUCCCAGCUGUGCAGCGGUGGGUUUAAAUAGAGCUUUAGCUGACUGGGAGGUAUCAGACCAGCAGGAACCAGGAGAGAACAGCUUUAAAACACUUUGAGUGUAACAGGUUGAGAUUCCGGCGUCCACAUCGGACCAUUUCAUGAGGUUUGUGGUUGGGUUUAACCUGCUGGGUAGAAUACUGUCCCAGUUCUCCAAAACCAACACUCAGGCAGAGAUUCCUUCAGAAGGAACGUUUCUGGGAGAAGAGUUCAAUGAGAAGAUGGAUGCCUCCAUCACGACUAGAUGAAGCUGGUUAGAUCCUGGAGGCAGGUCCACCUCAGAACCACCAGCUCACUGCUUAUUACACUGGAUUUGUGUGUUUAAUGCAAAAUAGGAACUGGAGAAACUAUUUAAUGUUCGUUUUAGCUUAGCAUAAAACUCCUUCAAGCUCCUUAGGUGAAACAUAAUGAGGUCACUGUGACCAAAAAAUACUCAAACCGCUUUAAAAACCCAAACUAAACUUUACAUUAAGGCCCUCUGAAGCCCAACAGUCACAGGCAAAAAAACACACAACAGUCUGUAAUGAUUGACUCAGAUGUAGCUAACAGUCAUUUUAAAUAUUCAGCUGAAGUGCAGGCUGUGUUCAAGCAGAUAAAUGAUGAUAAAAGUACGGAAACAAACUAAAGAUGGAAGCAGUAAAACAUCUAUCAUAUGUAGUAUUGCUAACAUAAAUUAUCAGUAAAAGUCUGGAUUUUCUCAUUCAGUGCUUUUUAUUUAUUUGCAUUAUUUCCUACAUUAAUACUUAAGAUUAACACUUUAUUGUUUACUACAUAGUUCAUAUGUGUUCAUUCAUGGAUUUGAUGUCUUUAGUAUUAAUCUAAAAUGUUUAAAAUACAAAUAAAAACCACUGAAUGAGAACGUUAAAACAGAUUUCUGAGUGUCUCUGCUCCUGGUCAUGGUUGUGCUGUUCCCAUAGAGCUGCAGGAUUAAAUAUCAGUGAAAAAUGAGCCCACAGUGAGUAAAAACGAGACCGGAGCAAGAAAAAUACCGAGAAACUGCUUCAAGUUCAGAACGUUAAUGAAUGUUGAAGAUGCUAGGAGACUGGAUGGUUGUUCUCCAGCUUCUAGUCUUGUAGCUAAAGUCCUUGUAGUCAAGUCACCUUAAAAAUUAUUUUGGGCUAAAAGACGAGGCUCCGGUUGAAAUGAAUCUGGAGCCAUGAUUGUAAUUUCAGUGGUCAACGAGAUAAAUCAGAUAAAAACGUUUGAAAGGUUUGGUAAGGUUUAAAAGGCGGUUCUUUUCCCUACAGACGCAGUUCGCUUGUUACAGAGCAGAUCAUGGAUUUUAACUGAACAUGCUUCACCAACCACUAUCUUUGGCAUUAAGGAUCCUAAAGAGAAGAAUUCUUUAAGAGGUGAUUCUCCUUUAACGUGUCAGAGACCAGCAUCUUCUCAUGGAACUCUAGAAGUGAACAAUCUGAUUUCCCAUUAUUGUGAUUUCUCCACCCUAAAGUCAGAUUUAUGGACGUCAGUCACCAAUAAAAUGAAUCUGUGCCUUUAGUGCCCCGUAUAGAACAUCAUGACUUUCAGCCAGAGAUGGUUUUGGAAAAGUUCCAUUCAACAAAAAUGAUACCAACAAACAGUGGAAAAUAAAGUCUAAUAUCACCACUUUACAUAUCUUUGAUUGGGAUUCCCUUCACGGUGAUGAUUUGACCUUUGAGGCUAUAUAGAUACUGAUUUUAAAAAUUUCUGAUAAUCUUAACCAUUUCCAGUGGAUUUAGUCUAAUUAGAUAUUUAAAAAAGCUCAUUAUUUAGGCUAAUAUAAAGAGGCAGCGUUCACGUAGUAAAUAUCUCUGCGGUAUUUCUGGUAACAUCUGUACCGACAGGCCUGCUGUAGCGUCCAGGCUUCAGAAACCUGCCAAAGGAGUCGCUUUGGAUCAACACCUUUCAGAUCAGUCUUAGCUUAGCGUUUUAGCAUCUUUUCCUUUGGCAUGGAUGACAUAAAAAAAUUUUAAAAAACAAAAAAAAACCAAAAAAAAAGCACAUUUCCCCUUAUUAGAUAGCUUAGAAACUUUGAUUAUCACAUUGAUCCUAAAUUGAUCCUCUCAGCCUGAAUAGCGUCACGGAGAGCUGGAGAGAAAAAGCAGAAGGACUGUUGAUCCAGAAACCGGAGAGAAACUAAACCAGAUCUGUUGAUCCAGACUCCGGAUAGAAACUAAACCAGAUCUGUUGAUCCAGAAACCGGAUAGAAACUAAACCAGAUCUGUUGAUCCAGAAACCGGACAGAAACUAAACCAGAUCUGUUGAUCCAGAAACCGGAUAGAAACUAAACCAGAUCUGUUGAUCCAGACUCCGGAUAGAAACUAAACCAGAUCUGUUGAUCCAGAAACCGGAUAGAAACUAAACCAGAUCUGUUGAUCCAGAAACCGGAUAGAAACUAAACCAGAGCUGUUGAUCC